rnacentral:rRNA from 1 species
UACAGAGGUCGUCAAGCGUUGUUCGGAUUCAUUGGGCGUAAAGGGCGCGUAGGCUGCGGGGCAAGUCGGGUGUGAAAUCUCAGAGCUCAACUCUGAAACUGCACUCGAUACUGCCGUGCUUGAGGACUGGAGAGGAGACUGGAAUUUACGGUGUAGCGGUGAAAUGCGUAGAUAUCAGGAGGAACACCGGUGGUGUAGACGGCUUUCUGGACCGUAACUGACGCUGGAGACACGAAAGCGUGGGUAGCAAACAGG